AACAAUUUGAUCAAAAAUACAAGUAAAUUGAAAAACAAUUGCUUUCCCUCAACUGCUCUCACCUUAUACCAACAAUGUAAACAGAACAAGUAGGACCAAUUUAAUCUCCCACAUCCCCACUAAAUUACUCCAAAUAACAAUUCAAUCAUCUGAGGCCCUAAGCAUCAAUGUUGUUGAAUUUAUCGCAGCUCCGACGAACCUCGCCCUUCUUCCCUGUCUUCACCCCGUAGACACUAAGCUUCUCCAUCACAUGCGCGAAGUCCGCAAAGAACAAUGUCUGGUUUGCUGCAUACUCUUUCACAACUGGGGCAGUGCGGGAGUCGGAUAUUAGGAGAUGGUCGGAGGCGAGGAGGGCGAGGCCCCGCUCGAGGUUCUGGAAAUACAUGUUGUCGAAUUUCCCCGGAGUCAUGACAUCGUUGAAUGUGGCGAUGGUGGUUUCGGUCUUGUAAUUGGCGCAGGCCUUCUGGAGGGCUUGGGCGUAGCGGGGGUCCAUUGAUGGGUCGAAGGAGUUGGCAUCGCCGCCGUUGAAGUAGAAUAUCCGGGAGGCGAACUCCUUGCAGUGGGAGAAGCCGACGGUGUGGGCGCCGUUGAGGGCGACCAUCUCACGGACGGUGAAGCCUUUAGCGGCGAAGGAGGCAAUGAUCUGGUUCAUUGUCAUGUUAGCGCGGGGAAGCUGGUUACCGACGGAGGCGGCGGUGGAGGCGAGGGAGUCUUUGCGGCCGAGGCGGACGGGGUAGUAGGGGCCGCCGAGGGCGGAGACAAGGUCACGGGUGGCGAGAGCCAUGAUGUCGGCGCAGGAGACGACGCCGGGGCAGGUGAGCUCGAGGGCGGCCUUGGCACGGACGACGACGUCGAAGGCGUCACCGGGGAG
rnacentral:misc_RNA from 1 species